GCAGCAACACAAUAUGUAUCCAAAUACAAUUGGUUCUCUUCUCCUUUUGUUGGUUUUUUCAAGUAUAUUAUUACAUGAAGUGGAACCAAGAAAUGUUGUGUUUAUGCAUUGUGGCAAGGAUAGUGACUGUGACUUAAUAUGUCGUAACGCUGAACAUAAGGUUGAACCAUUAUGUUAUAAGCGUUAUUGUAUCUGCGACCGCAGAUUCUUCUGCAUGAAUGAUUUUAGCUGUAAACUUCAACCAAUUCAUUGCGAUGAUCAUCGUGGCAAAUCUUUUCAAUGUAUUCAUAACAUAUGUAGAUGUCUUUAGUACCCUUGGUGAAAAGAAAAAUGAAAAAUGUUGUGACUUAAGUACAAAAAAUUCAUAAUUCAUAUAUAAGGUUGAUAUAA